rnacentral:rRNA from 1 species
UACAGAGGGGGCAAGCGUUGUUCGGAAUUACUGGGCGUAAAGGGCGCGUAGGCGGCCUGCUAAGUCGAACGUGAAAACCUGCAGCUUAACUGUGGGCUUGCGGUCGAUACGGGCAUCACUGGAGUUCGGCAGGGGAGACUGGAAUUCCUGGUGUAGCGGUGAAAUGCGCAGAUAUCAGGAGGAACACCGGUGGCGAAGGCGGGUCUCUGGGCCGAUACUGACGCUGAGGAGCGAAAGCGUGGGGAGCGAACAGG